rnacentral:rRNA from 1 species
GUCUAUGGCCACACCACCCUGAAUGCACCUUAUUGCAGAAGCUAAGUAGAGUCGGGACUAGUUAGUACUUGGAUAGGAGACCAAUUUGGAAUACCAGGUGCUGUAGGCU